rnacentral:rRNA from 1 species
GACGAACGCUGGCGGCGUGCCUAAUACAUGCAAGUUGAGCGCUGAAGGUUGGUACUUGUACCAACUGGAUGAGCAGCGAACGGGUGAGUAACGCGUGGGGAAUCUGCCUUUGAGCGGGGGGCAACAUUUGGAAACGAAUGCUAAUACCGCAUAAAAACUUUAAACACAAGUUUUAAGUUUGAAAGAUGCAAUUGCAUCACUCAAAGAUGAUCCCGCGUUGUAUUAGCUAGUUGGUGAGGUAAAGGCUCACCAAGGCGAUGAUACAUAGCCGACCUGAGAGGGUGAUCGGCCACAUUGGGACUGAGACACGGCCCAAACUCCUACGGGAGGCAGCAGUAGGGAAUCUUCGGCAAUGGACGAAAGUCUGACCGAGCAACGCCGCGUGAGUGAAGAAGGGUGUCGGAUCGUAAAACUCGGUUGGUAGAGAAGAACGUUGGUGAGAGUGGAAAGCUCAUCAAGUGACGGUAACUACCCAGAAAGGGACGGCUAACUACGUG